AUUGAACGCUGGCGGAAUGCUUUACACAUGCAAGUCGAACGGCAGCACGGACUUCGGUCUGGUGGCGAGUGGCGAACGGGUGAGUAAUGUACCGGAACGUGCCCAGUCGUGGGGGAUAACGUAGUGAAAAUUACGCUAAUACCGCAUACGAUCUAUGGAUGAAAGCGGGGGAUCGCAAGACCGAGCGCGCUUGGAGCGGCCGAUAUCAGAUUAGGUAGUCGGUGGGGUAAAGGCGCCCCAAGCCAACGAUCUGUCGCUGGUGUGAGAGGACGACCAGCCACACUGGAACUGAGACACGGUCCAGACUCCUACGGGAGGCAGCAGUGGGGAAUUUUGGACAAUGGGCGAAAGCCUGAUCCAGCCAUUCCGCGUGCAGGAUGAAGGCCCUCGGGUUGUAAACUGCUUUUGUACAGAACGAAAAGGUUUCUACUAAUACUAGGAGCUCAUGACGGUACUGUAAGAAUAAGCACCGGCUAACUACGUGCCAGCAGCCGCCGUAA
rnacentral:rRNA from 1 species